GUCACCACACCCAGUAGGUGUUCCCACAGCUCAGCAGGGCAUGCUGUGGUAAUGUUGUCCUUACGUCAUUCCAUCCAGUGCCUCCAAUCAGCUGUGACUUAGGGUACUGUCCUCCCAGGACCUUGUUGAGGCCUUAGAAUCCUUUUAGUUCCAUCCUUCUCCAUGUCUGUAUUCUAGAAUCUUGAGUAUUUUGGGGCAUUCAGUUGCCUUCCCUGUAAAAUGUUGUUCUCCAUAUUUUCACAAAGAGGAAUUCAAACAUUUUCUCAAGCUUACCCUAAGAAGCUUCCCCUAACCCCAGAUCUGGGGUGUCUUCUCUGUUCUUCUCUUAUAGCUCACUGUAAAUACAGAGAGUCCAUAUUGUACCCACCUGGCUGUCAUCUCUCUAGUCUUAUACACCCCUCCUCCUCCCAGCCGCUUCACUUCUCAGAGAACCACCCAUCUGCUUUCUAUUACUACAGGCUAUACAUUAAAGUGAAGAUCUUCAUAGGCUGCAUUUGAAAACAAUGCAGUGAUCUCCUUGAUGGUUUGAUCAACAGUAUAAUAAGCAUAUUUGCUGCUUGGUAGCAGAGUCUGAGAGACACAGAAGCUGAUGGUCUAGUUGUCUCAGAGCUUCUAGUCCAAGGACAGGGGCACAAUGUCCACCUUCUCUCUGCAUUCAUCUCUACUGCAUGGGAGGUUGAAUCUGUGGCAUGCAUGUGGAUUCAUCUGUCAACACUUCAAACAGAACCCUCUGUGAGCUGGUAGGCUUGCCUAGUGGCCAUCAACGUUCUCAAUGGGGACCCAGGGACGUCUAGGAUGUGCCAAUGCCUUCUACAUUAGCAAAGCAAUGUCACCUACAGGGUUGCUUUAGUGUUGUGUAUCUUAUUAAAGCAAAAAAC
rnacentral:lncRNA from 1 species